AGGGCUAGAGAAGAUAAACUUGAGAUCAAGAAAAUGAUAAUCUAUGCAAUUGAAGAAGCAAUUAAAGAUUUAAAAGUGCUAAUAUAAUGACAUCUUCAAGCUACUCCAAGUGGCAGCUAUAGAACACAGAGGCCAAAUUGUUUUGGCGGCUAUAGAACACACAGGCCAAAUUGUUUUUCUUUUUUCCAUUUUUAUAACAUACAUUUCUUCAGCGAGAAUGCUACCUAAUUAAAGCAUUUUUUUGAGGAUGCAUAUCACCAAUUCAAAGUUAAAUAUAGGAACGAUACCUUUGCAAGUAUGUGUCAAUGCAAGGUGAUGGUAUGAAUGAGCUUCAUUUCGUUUUGUUUUAAAGAGAGUUUCAGGCCCACCAUGAGGAAAUACAAAUAGAGAUUAUAAAUUUCUUGCUCAUGAUUCUGAAGUUUCCGCUCUAUGAAAUUUUAGAACUUGUGAUCCUUGAACAGAAUUCUCUUGCCAAAAGAGAAUAUCAAGUUCCUCCUACUCAAAAAUCAAAAGGCAAAGCAUAGUUUGAAGAAUCUCUUUCAAACAUUGAUAGCGUGCUGAUACACUUGUUUUCUAAUGAAAGAAAAUGUUAUCAAAUCAACAAAAUAAUUAUGGAACAUCUAUAAUUAAUAAUAACAUUGAUAUUAAAAAAAUUAUAAUAUAACUUUAGAUAAUUCUCUUAAAAUAAAACAAAUGACCCAUAUGCAUGGCUCCUACAUAUUCAAAUUGUGUAACUCUUGGGCUCAAAAAACAAUGUCCACUUAAACCUAUUAACCUUUUACUCUUUCAACUUCUAAACUAAUUGAGAAAAAUUUAUCUUCGGUAUUUACACAAACAAGUAUGCACAAUUAGAAACAUACUAGAACAAGAAUUUCAAAGUAGAAUAAAAAAUGUUUAAAAUAUUUCUUUUUUAGUAGGGGAUUGGACAAGUGAGAACUAAAACUUGGCUUUGCUAAGUAAUAUGUCUUUAACUAUUAUACUAAGCCAAACUAGGCAAAAAUAUUUCAAAUAUUAAGAUCAAAUAAAAGGAGAGUAGGAUAAAGAUGAAAUAAGUCAUUAUGAUAUUUAUCACUUUUAUUAUUUGAGUUGUUAGAAGGACGUUUUGGUGGAAUAGUCAUGUCAUACAUAAUAUCUUGGCUAUCAAUAGUUACAUACAGGUCUAUAUAACAUAGAAAAGUAGGAUACCCAUGACGUGUACGUGUGGGAUGUACCAAAUCCUCAUUAAAUUUGAUUUUUCCAUUAGAGGGUAAUCUUUCAAUAUGUAGCAGCCAUCAAAAAUUACUCGUCUAUUGGGCAUCUUUUGAAUAAAAAAAAUAAAAUGAAAUCCAAGAAAUUAAAUUAGGAAUAUGUUUUAUUUUCCUUAUGGAAAAGUAGACUAUGAAUCGAAGAAGAAAUAGAAUGAAAGAGAGAGUAAGAAGCAUUAUCAUUUCCCCCCUAUUUAGACUAUGAUUUCUUUUUGAAAUAAAAGAAUUCAAUUCU
rnacentral:misc_RNA from 1 species